CUGCAUAUCCUUAGCGACUUCGGCAAGGCAACGAGGCUCUGCAUCAAUCCGGCUAAAUCUACGGUCUUGUUGAUCCAUUGCGAGAACGUCAACGUCGAGGAGGUUCUCCAAGAUUUUUCCGGUUCCAUUGCCCCUUUCCCCAUAAAAUAUCUAGGGCUGCCGGUCACUACGGGCCGCCUUUGCUUGGUUCAUCUCCAAUUCAUUAUCGACAGAAUCAAGGAACGGCUAGCGGGCUGGAAGGGCAAGCUACUGCUGAUGGCUGGCCACCGCAUCCUCGUCCAAUGCGUGUUGAGUGCCAUGCCAACCUUCGCUCUCACCGUCCUCCAUGUCCCAAAGAAACUGCUCAAAGAGAUCAACAAGUGCAGGCGACGCUUCCUCUGGUGCCAGGACGACAAGAUCUCGGGCGCCAGCUGCAAGGUCAAUUUGCCGGCGGUCUGCGCCCCGACGGAGCAGGCAGGCCUGGGCAUUCUCGACCUGCAGCGUUUUGGCAGAGGCUACGGCCGCGCUGGCUCUGGAUAG
rnacentral:rRNA from 1 species